UACAGAGGGGGCAAGCGUUGUUCGGAAUUACUGGGCGUAAAGGGCGCGUAGGCGGCCUGUUAAGUCGAACGUGAAAUCCCCGGGCUCAACCCGGGAACUGCGUCCGAUACUGGCAGGCUUGAAUCCGGGAGAGGGAUGCGGAAUUCCAGGUGUAGCGGUGAAAUGCGUAGAUAUCUGGAGGAAUACCGGUGGCGAAGGCGGCAUCCUGGACCGAUACUGACGCUGAGGUGCGAAAGCGUGGGGGAGCAAACAGG
rnacentral:rRNA from 1 species